AUCGCUUCUCAGCCUUGAAUAGGAUCAAAGUAUAUCUAUCUGUUCUUAUAAGAUUGAUAUCCGAUACGUUCCCCAAUUUAGGGGACUACAAUAUUAAACUAAUUAUUUGGACACAGGUGCGAUGUAAAUAGGUUUACUCAGCUCUCGCCAUGGUUUGGCUCAGUAUUACAGUAUAUCUACUUAUCAAAUACAACAU